rnacentral:rRNA from 1 species
GACAGAGGCCUCGAGCGUUAGGCGGAAUCACUGGGCUUAAAGCGUGUGUAGGCGGGCCCGUAAGUGUCUUGUGAAAUCCCACGGCUCAACCGUGGAACUGCUGGGCAUACUGCGGGUCUUGGGCCAACUAGGGGCAGCCGGAACAAGCGGUGGAGCGGUGAAAUGCGUAGAUAUCGCUUGGAACGCCGAAGGUGAAAACAGGCUGCUGGGGUUGCGCCGACGCUGAGACGCGAAAGCCAGGGGAGCAAACGGG